GACGAACGCUGGCGGCGUGCUUAACACAUGCAAGUCGAACGGAAAGGCCCUGCUUUUGUGGGGUGCUCGAGUGGCGAACGGGUGAGUAACACGUGAGUAACCUGCCCUUGACUUUGGGAUAACUUCAGGAAACUGGGGCUAAUACCGGAUAGGAGCUCCUGCUGCAUGGUGGGGGUUGGAAAGGUUCGGCGGUUGGGGAUGGACUCGCGGCUUAUCAGCUUGUUGGUGGGGUAGUGGCUUACCAAGGCUUUGACGGGUAGCCGGCCUGAGAGGGUGACCGGCCAGAUUGGGACUGAGAUACGGCCCAGACUCCUACGGGAGGCAGCAGUGGGGAAUAUUGCACAAUGGGCGGAAGCCUGAUGCAGCAACGCCGCGUGCGGGAUGACGGCCUUCGGGUUGUAAACCGCUUUCGCCUGUGACGAAGCGUGAGUGACGGUAAUGGGUAAAGAAGCACCGGCUAACUACGUG
rnacentral:rRNA from 1 species